CUGGUUAAUGAUUGCCCUGGGUUCGGGAGAGAGCCGCCCUCCCGGUUCCUUAACCACUGGUUGCAAGAGGGCAAGGCGGUGGCAGCCUGGGUGUUCCCUGCUUUAAUGUGGCAGCUCUGCUCCGGCACAUGGGUGGGGAGCAGACGCCUGGAGUCACAGAUUGACUGGCAGCUCAUGCCCCAGGGUGCUGGGACUGAGUUAGGAUCCAAGGGGUCAAAACAAAGCAUGAACUGCCCUGGAAUCCCACCCCUGUGGUUUGUGGGAGCAGACCUCACACUAACAUUUCUAGCACAACCCGCCACCCCCACCUGCAGAGAGCCCCAAGUGGAUGGUGAUAUGGUCAGGGUGUUAGGGUUCUGGGCUGUGUGACCUUGGGCGAGUCACCCCACAGUCCCCAGCUGCUUCCUUAUCUGAAGGAAGGUGAUACUAAUUCCCUCCUUCCAGGUGUGAGCCACCUGAAGUGUGGGAAGCGUUCACACACACACCCAAUCUUAGUACCUGGGUAGUUAAAUUUUUGCUAUUUGGAGAAAGUGAAAGUUGAAUUCUAGUUUCAGGUAACCAGGGCAGCUGUGUAUAUUGGGGAUGAGCUGGAGGGCUUGGGGUUGGCACUGGGAGGUCCCAGGGAUGCAUAUGAAAAGGAUAUGUAAGAGUGGACUGGAAGGAAGUACGCGCGGUCCAGGGUGACCCCCAGGCACCAGAGACCCACCCCAGUUCUCCUAGCCUGGGUUCCUCUUCAAGCUGGGUCCUGAGGCUGGUGCCAGCUGAGGCGGGGGGGGGGGGGGAGCGGGGGGCAGGGAGGGAGAGAAUAUUUAUUUUGAUAGCAUUAGGGCAUUUUCCCCUACUGGCAGCUGCUAUUUUGAGAGCCCUGGAGAGCAGGGGUGAUGGUUAAAUUAGGUAAUGUUGCUCCAGAAGGAAUGUGUGAAGCCCUCACUGAGGCAGCCGGGCAGGACAGGCAUUAACUCAACAUAAAAUUAAAAUUAACCUGCAGCGUGGAGAAAAGCAGCUCCUGCGGGUGGAUGCUUUAUAAGGCGAUGGAGGGGAGGCCCCUGGAAGCCGCUGCUGGGGAGUGGAGGUGGUGGCCAAGGCCUGUUUUGGGCUGGCCUUGCCUGGAGUCGGUGGAGGGGCCAAGCUGCUGUGUCCCAGCUCCUCCGAGCUGCGGCCACUGCUCCAGAAUCAAAGACCUUUCUUAAUAGCCCGUCGGAGCUUCUGGUCAGCGUGUGAUAACGGGUGUAGCAGACGGAAUGCGAGCCAGAAGCCAGGAGACUUGACGCCUUGAUUAGAGGGCCGCCUUACCGCCUGCACAUGGACAAUUUCCUCCAGUCCCUUUCCAGCAUGGACAAUGACCCAGGGUGGGAAGCACGGUGCUGAUCGCCUCUGUGGCCUAUCAGCUAUGUGUCCUCAGGCCAGCCUCAGUUUCCCACUUCUGGCUUAGUUCAAGGUCUGGUGAUGGUGCAGUCUGCACCGUCCAGUGUGGUAGCUGCUGGCCACAUAUAAUUAAGUAUAAAAUUCAGCGAAAUAAA